rnacentral:rRNA from 1 species
CACGUAGGGCGCAAGCGUGUCCGGAAUUAUUGGGCGUAAAGAGCUCGUAGGCGGUCUGUCGCGUCGGCUGUGAAAACACGGGGCUCAACUCCGUGCCUGCAGUCGAUACGGGCGGGCUGGAGUUCGGUAGGGGAGACUGGAAUUCCUGGUGUAGUGGUGGAAUGCGUAGAUAUCGGGAGGAACACCAGUGGCGAAGGCGGUUGCCUGGAGCUUUGCUGACGCUGAUGCGCGAAAGCGUGGGGAGCGAUCCGG